rnacentral:tRNA from 1 species
CGGGAUGUAGUUCAAGUGGUAGAGCACCCGCUUUGGGAGCGGGCCGUUGCGUGUUCGAGUCGCGCCAUCCCGA